UCAUCCAUAUGGGCUUUAUUCUGCUCUGCGAGCAGACACCAUCCUGGCAGAUGGCAGCUGAGGCGAAGCAGGAACAGGAUCUACGGAUCGCCCCAAGCCAGAGCGCUGCACCUCGGACGCAUCCGGAAAAACAUUGCUCUAACAGCAAGUGGCUGUGAAAGCCUUGAGCUGCCCAGUCUGAUCUGCCACCCUAAGUGAAAGGAGACCAUGGGAGGUCUGUGCAUAAGCAAAGCAGGAGCUCAGAGACGGUGGUGACGCCUGCCAGUGUCCGGGACCAAGCAUGGCACCUUAGUGCCUGCCCUCACUGCAGUGCACUGCAAUGGGGACAGCUUCCUGGGAAAGAGAGUAUUCCUGCACCGCCUGAUGCUGCAGCCACUGUUAGAAAUACUGCGAUGAAUAUAAGGUGCUGCCACUGAACUUUGAAGAUUUGAGACCACUAAAGAGGCCCACAGGAACUGGUGGGAAAUGUUCCAGCUGACUGGUUCUCCUGGCGUGCAGGGAGUUUGGCUGGGGUGGUCAGAAUUGCUUUUCCUCAAAAAACUAUUUUGUUGAAAUGUUUUGACUAAUUUUUCAACAAAAUUAUGCAAGUGAGUAAAUUCAAACUGUUGUGACUGUCCUUCACUUUCAGCUGUGGCAGAGACCUGGAAGGAUGUACAUGGACCAAAAGCUUUGGAUGGUUUGGGAAGAAAAAAAAUAGCAAACAACCAAAGCAUAUUCUAAAUGGAAGUUGGCCCAACAAGUACUCAUCAGGGCUUCAGCCACCCCUGAAGCUACAGGUUAGUGGCAGCGGGUGCAGCAGAGUGUGCUUUUGUGCACUGCUGUUAAUGACAGCAGAAGGGACCCUUUCUGGGGAAAUCUUUCCAUGGUCACCACUCUUGCUAGGACAUGUUUGUGAAAUUGUCAUUUCACGUCAGCCCCUGCCAUGAGGUGCCAAGCCCACGGCUCUUCUCCCUGUGCUCUUUGUUGCUCCCCCCUCCAAAGCACAAGCUUGUUGCUGGCAAGUUCUUCAGGGCAGGAAAUGAACC